CUAAUUCUACAGGUGCUGUCGCAACCUUCCUGGGAUUUGUAGUCCGUAAUCGUAAACACUUCCGGAAGGUCUUGCAUUUGUGGCCUAGAGAGUUGAAAUAAGUCGCUGCUGACGAACAAGAUGAGCAAACACAAGAAGCAGAUGGCAGAGCGGUUCUUGAAUCACGCCCUCGGCAUUAUUUACCUGCUGACUGGUGAGGAAUACACUAUUGUAAAGAAGAAUUCUGCGCACAGGAGCAUUCAGCGGCUUACAGGAGAGGU